CACGUAGGGGGCGAGCGUUGUCCGGAUUUAUUGGGCGUAAAGAGCUCGUAGGUGGUUCGAUAAGUCGGGUGUGAAACCUCCAGGCUCAACCUGGAGACGCCACCCGAUACUGUCGUGACUAGAGUCCAGUAGGGGAGCGUGGAAUUCCUGGUGUAGCGGUGAAAUGCGCAGAUAUCAGGAGGAACACCAGCGGCGAAGGCGGCGCUCUGGGCUGGCACUGACACUGAGGAGCGAAAGCGUGGGGAGCGAACAGG
rnacentral:rRNA from 2 species